CAUACUUACCUGGCAGGGGAGAUACCAUGAUCACGAAGGUGGUUUUCCCAGGGCGAGGCUUAUCCAUUGCACUCCGGAUGUGCUGACCCCUGCGAUUUCCCCAAAUGUGGGAAACUCGACUGCAUAAUUUGUGGUAGUGGGGGACUGCGUUCGCGCUCUCCCCUGGCAAUUGUUGUUCCAGAAACAGGUUCUUUUCUUGGUUUCGCCGGGGUGUUUCAGCACCUCUGUGGACCUGGGCUGUGCGUGUACUGUUCGGCGGCCGUGUCUGCGUUCAACGUGUCGCGGCGUGGGGUGGGUGUGGCGCGUGGAAUUCCGCGUUCAGGGACAUCUGCUUUGCAAAAACAGCGGUUCCGGAGAAGCCUCACUCACGUCGCAGGCGCGGUAGCACGGAACCUGCACAGGCGCUUUACCCGGCUGUCUCCGCGUUUGAAAGGCCACGCCUCCCGCGCUGUGUGAACUGUCCAGUGCACUGGACGCGCACAGUGGGACUGCUACACGGAGUCACCCGCGUAACAAGUGACGGAGAGAGGUCUUCUAUCCACUGGUUCGCUGCACAUGUCCACAAUGGCGGUGGGCCAAGCCAGGCCGAAGCCAGGAGCUUCUUCCCGGUCUCCCACGUGGGCUGCAGGAGCCCAAGUACUUGGGUCAUCCUCCACUGCCUUUCCCAGGUGCGCCGGCAGGGGGCCGCAUGGGAAGGGGAGCUGCCGGGACUUGAACUGUCGCCCAUAUGGGACGCAGGCUCUCCCCUCAACGCCACAACACCGGGCCCCUGAUCGCAGCUUUCGAGGUAGACUUCCACUAGUGGCUCAUUUAAUUUUUAUGAUACUGAUACAACAAGCAGAAAGAUUUUUCCAAUUUUGGAAUCCCCACGGUGGAGGAAAUGACGAUAGCUGAGUGACUUCAAAAACUUACUCUUUAAGAGCUGGGGACCCAACCAGAGGAUCUGCCCAGCCAUCACCGUGCAGACUGUCUCCUCUCUGCAAAAGCUGGAUCCCACUAUCCAACACUACCCUCCCCCAAACCGUCGACCCUGAUUUUGGAUUUCCUCAUUUCGGUUUUCUCGUUCUGUGCGGUAGGUAGACAAGUUCAUCUGCAAAAUCAAGGUGAUGCCCACACUGUGCGCUUUGUAACACUUUUCCUGCAGCUGACACAGCAAGCCCUCCCUCAGCAGUUCACUCCAGUUUGGCAGUAUUGCAGUUAUGUCCCGGGAAGCCUUGAAUCCCUGUGAAACCAGGCGGCGGCACAUCGUGCUCUGGAGUUCAGAGGCUAGCAACUAAUCCUCUGUGUUUUGCAUGAUGAUGGGCCCCUCUGGUUGGACUGAGUUCUCUUAACUUUUCCGGUACACGAUAAGAAAACAGGAGAGUUCCCACACCCUUGGCCCCAAGUAUGGAAUUUUGCCACAAACGCUGGACAUGAAGUGGAAACAAGAAGGAAUUUGGAUGCAGCCGCUAGAGGGACAGAAGAGCAAGCAGAACCGGAGAGCAGAGCUUUGCGAAUUCAGUCGGGAACGUUUAUGUACUUCCCUGUCAUCCUCGUUAUAAGUCUGUUUAGUGGUCAACUGUGUCUCGGAUUCACAUGGCUCCCAGAAUGAGUACCCUUCUGAAAAACCACCUCCCGGGGUCGGCACUAUGGUGUAGUGGGUUUAAGCUCUGCCUGCAGCGCCGGCAUCCCAUAUGGGCGCCAGCUCGAGUCCCGGCUGCUCCACUUCCGAGCCUGGGAAAGUAGUAGAAGAUGGCCCAAGUCCUCGGGCCCCCGCAGCGCACGGUGGGAGACCCGGAAGAAGCUCCUGGCUCCGGAUCAGCCUAGCUCCGGCCCUGCGGCCAUUUGGGGAGUGGACCGGUGGAUGGAAGACCUCUAGCCCCCCUCGCCCCUCCUCGCUUCACUCUGCACUUAAAAUAAGAAAUUUAAAAUACACACAUCCUCCCUUAUAUUUAUUUCAAAAAAUUAGUAGCGGAAAAUUUUACUCGCUUCUGUAAGCAUUUUUCCCGGGGGUGGUGAGCUCCGGGGAAGCAGGCCUGCGCACAAAAAAGAUUUUAGUUAAGCAUCGCUGGAGGGAAGCUGUGUCGUGAGAUCGACCUCACACAAUCCGUAGGCUGCGCCUCUUUCCUAGGAACACCAUAAAAACUGCAGUCAUGAACGAAGUUGUUCCCACGAGAGUGCUGGUGCCACAACUCAGUUAAUACCUACAACCGCAGCACUCGUCUUGACCCUCCGCGCAUCCUGUAGAAGCAGGAUGCUUUGGCGUCAACCCAAUCAUUUCCCAGCGCAGCACUAUUUUUAGCAACCGCAGAAAACCAGGGGAGAGCGCGAACGCAGUCCCCCACUACCACAAAUUAUGCAGUCGAGUUUCCCACAUUUGGGGAAAUCGCAGGGGUCAGCACAUCCGGAGUGCAAUGGAUAAGCCUCGCCCUGGGAAAACCACCUUCGUGAUCAUGGUA